UCAGAGAGAAACCUACGUGGGCGUACUGCAGUUUCCAAUCAACCAGUAAAAAUCGUUCCUAAAACAAUGAGUGACUGAAACGCGCUAAUAUCAGAGAGAAACCUUUGGGGUCGUACUUCAGUUUGGAAUCAACCAGUAAAAACCGUUCCAAAAACAAUGAGUGACUGAAACGCGCUAAUAUCAGAGAGAACUCAUGUGGGCGGGCUUAAACUAAUACAUCCAUACUGAUACAACAACCAUCUAAAAUACACAGACUUGAAAUUGGGCAUCGGCUUCACGCGCACACACCGAGAGGGCGCGCGUGGUCCUCGCUUCGCUCGGACCACUGUGUUACGUCACUAGCUAUCUUAUUAACCCGGAUACUAAUGAAAUCUAUGUUCAUAAAAGGCUUUUGUUUUAUUGACCCAUAGACCGCUAGUGUAUAAUUUGAUAUACAAUAAACUCCAGACUACAAACACGUUGAACCCGGAUUGAAAGCAUUUAAUAUUCAAAGAACGAUGCCACUCAUCUCAUAAAACAAUACGAUAGUUCCGUAUUCGUGGAAAGCUAACCGGAGCUAAUUGUGACAUUCUUUUACUUAAUGAAUGGGUACAAAAUGUAAUAGUAUGUUAACCUCUACAGCCGGACCUAUCAUUGUUACAAUUAUACCAAUACAGAUAGACUAAAAACUUGAUUUAAUGACUAAGCUAGACAGAGCUUCUUCGUGCUUAUAAACAAGCUAGUCAGCAUAGUUUAAUACAUGGCACCACACACUCUGUUUAACGUAGUUUAAUACAAAUCGCCACCCACUACAACAUAACACAGUUGGCUAGUACAACAUUAGUACAACAGUAGUACAACAUACCACAACAUUAGUUCCAGGCUAAACCUCUACCACAAAGACACAAGACAGUGACCAAUAGUUCAAGUCCUGGAUUCCUAACAAGCAAAACAAUUUUUAAAAAACAAGAAAUAUUAAAAAUUAGGCAAAUUGCAAGUUAAUUAUAGCGGCGACGGCGAGGGUCUGAUUCAUUUGGCGAAUCGGUGGAGCGCUUUCGCGUAGUCGGCUGGCUGUAAAUUUCCUCCGGAUAAUGGUCCCGGGGUGAGUUAGCGAUGCGGUUGAUCUGGUCAAGGAUGAAAGGCUGGGAAAGAAGGCUAUUGAUUCUUUCAACGGCGGUCUGGUCGUCUGGUGAAUAGUCUUGUACUGGCGUUGAUGCGCGAGGAGGCGUUGAAUGGAACGGUGUUGGCGGGCGGCGGCGGCGUUGCGGUGCAUUCACAAAGCGUGGUCGGCAUGGAUUGCGUGUCGGUGUAGUAAAAGCAUCAGACGUGGAAGGCAUUGUGGGUGACGGUGGAGUUGAAGAGCGGCGGCGUCCACCUCGUGGCGCAUCCAAAAGACGUGAGCGGUAUGGACUGCUGGCAGAAGAUGGUGACGUCAAGCGAAUCAAAUUGAAAGGCUGUGUGCGAGUCGGUGAAGGCAUUCGAUCCCGGGCAACGCGGGCAACAUUCCAACGAGAGGUAUGUGCUGGCUCCGUAAGGUAAUGGCUCAAAGUUGACAUGUCAGGAGAAGCGGGACUGUACUCCACCAUCUGGGUCGGUUCCGGUGUGCGAGAACGUUGUGGCAGGGAAAAUGCUAGCUCUUGCUCGUGGUCGUCAGGCAACGGAGAGUAGACGUUCUCGUAAGCGGCAGUAUAGACGAAGCCGUCGUUGAUUGGAGUGUAGAUGUGGCGGGUGUUGUCUGGAGGAUAGUCGUUGGCUGGAGUGUAGAAGCCAGUAGGUGGUUGUGGUGGUGGUGGAUUUGGCGGUGCGUAAAGCUGCAAGACUGAAUUGUAGGCGGCGCAAGGGCCAUACGGACCAACCAAAGAAAUAAGACGGGCGUCAUGGAAAAACUGAAUGUCUCCCUAUAAAUGACGGGGCAAUAAACUAAACCAAAACUAUCGUGGAACUUACCAAAAUCAUAUUAGCCAGAUGGAUAGCAUGCACCCAGGCAUCCGGAAGAUUAUCCAUGGCGCUUACGUUUGGACGUCGGGCCAGCAUAUCACGGCGUAUACGGGUAGCAAUUUCUGUUUAAUUUAAUUUUGUUGCAAUAAUAGACAAAAAAAUCAAUUGGAAAAUUAUCUUACCGAAUGCUCUAUUGGAGAUGGCAGCCAGCUCUGCAGUCGUUGGCGUGCGAGUGAACACAUGAAAAAACUGGUCGAUCUCCAGGCAAGCGUUAGCAAACGGGCAACCAGGAUCCACCAAGUUGUAUGGGCGAUACACGCCAUCGGAGGAAGUGGAUGAUGCGUAGGACAAUGAGGAUGAAGAAGAUCCGGUAGAUGCUACUGAAUCUGCUCGGGAAGACAUUAUGUAAAGGUCACUCGUUAACUCAAGCUUACUAAAUCUACAGUGCUGUUAUAAGGUAACAGUAAAAGAUCCAAGAAGCGUCCAAAAACUACUGCUCAAGCAACUGAUGGUUUAACUGUGGCUGCAGUUGGUUUAUAUUAGCAAAAAUUUGGUUUCCAGAUUUUUCACCGUACUUGCCUUUUGUUUCCUUACAGUCGGUCUGGUUAAGGCUCUUUCUCCUUCGUAAGACUAAACCUUACUGUUUCCGUACAUACGUGUAAGGGAAAACUUUUAACCAUCAAGGCACGAAGCAUACGGCUGAGUUUCUUAGUACAAAUGUUAAGAGAAAAGACAAGUUUUUGUGGAAUUUUGGUAUGCGUUGAAGUAAAGGAAAGUUGAGAGGAGACCUAUGACAAGAGGUUAGAGCGCAAGCAAUAAACAGUAAUCCGUCUCGCGACCCGGAUAAGAGCCAUUAUGUUCUUGUUUUUCUGGGUCAAGCGACGAUUUGAUUUACCCUGCAUCCGUAUCUUAGAUCCUGAAUAAGUCGCGUCAGCGACCUGAUUUCUAUUGUUUGAGAAUUUUGGUAUAAUGGCUGUCGUUCUCCUAUCCAUUUGCCCUGAUGCCUAGCUAAUAUCCCGGAUUUGUCGCGACACUGACUAAGAUUGCAUUGUGUUGCUACCGACAUAAUCCUGUUUAUCUGGGUUACACGUUCUUUUGAUUUGGUCUGGUACCUUGAUAUUUGGGAGCCGGAUUCCGUCGCGACUUCCAUUGUUUAAAAAACGGUUUUUCCGGAUUCUUACAAUAGUUCUCCCUCGGCCCUUUUUACCGAAUGGGUCAUAAGGAAUUUUCCUUGGUAGCUCCACGUAUCAUACAGCCCAACCCACAUCGUUAGAGAACCAGUGUCCACCAGACCAAAAACUCUCUGCUUCGGACCACAUCAGUCUGGUCAAGGGUAGUGGGAG